rnacentral:misc_RNA from 1 species
AUUUUAUCCAUUGCACUCGCCGUCACUUGUGAGAUCACUGCGACGAGACGAAUGAAAAUGUAAGUACGUUGCUUUGUGGGUCCCUGCACCCCUGCACUUGAAAGUCUUUGCACUCCAAGUCGUUCACUGGUUUAAUUCUUUUUCUUUGGCUUCUCUUUCCAAUCCUCCUCUAUCCACUGAAAAAGGAAACUUGAAAUUCCCCAGCAGAAGCAAAUUAAAGUCGAGAUUGAUGGAUGAGAUCAGAAAUUGUUCCACUUUAUUACUAAUCAUAUUUAUUGCCGGUGUCUCUGCCUCCAACGGCGUCUUCAGCGUCAAGUACAGAUAUGCAGGCCGUGAGCGCUCUCUUAGUGACCUAAAGGCUCAUGACGAUCGCCGUCAGCUCCGUAUUCUUGCCGGCGUCGAUCUUCCUCUCGGCGGCAGCGGUCGUCCUGAUGGUGUCGGGCUUUAUUAUGCUAAGAUUGGAAUUGGAACGCCUUCAAAGGACUACUAUGUUCAGGUGGAUACUGGAAGUGACAUUAUGUGGGUCAAUUGCAUUCAAUGUAGGGAAUGCCCCAGAACAAGCUCUCUUGGUAUGGAUCUUACACUAUAUAAUAUUCAGGACUCGGUCACGGGGAAGUUGGUUCCUUGUGAUCAGGAGUUUUGCUAUGAGGUAAAUGGAGGUCCACUAUCUGGUUGUACAGCAAAUAUGUCUUGUCCUUAUCUUGAGAUAUAUGGAGAUGGGAGCUCUACUGCAGGUUAUUUCGUGAAGGACAUCGUGCAAUAUGAUAGAGUAUCGGGUGAUCUUAAAACUACAUCAGCAAAUGGAAGUGUUAUAUUUGGGUGUGGGGCUAGACAAUCAGGGGAUCUAGGCUCAUCUAAUGAAGAAGCUCUUGAUGGUAUACUUGGUUUUGGAAAAGCAAAUUCAUCAAUGAUUUCGCAAUUGGCUGCGACUGGAAAAGUGAAAAAGAUAUUUGCUCAUUGCUUAGAUGGUGUAAAUGGAGGUGGUAUCUUCGCUAUUGGGCAUGUUGUGCAACCAAAAGUUAACAUGACACCUCUGAUUCCAAACCAGCCCCAUUACAAUGUCAAUAUGACGGCAGUUCAAGUUGGUCAUGAUCUCCUAGAUCUUCCAAUUGAAGUGUUUGAGGCUGGAGAUCGGAAGGGAGCAAUAAUUGAUAGCGGUACAACCUUGGCCUAUCUCCCAGAAAUGGUUUAUGAACCACUAGUGAGCAAGAUAAUAUCUCAGCAACCUGACUUGAAAGUUCAUACCGUGCGUGAUGAAUAUACAUGUUUUCAGUAUUCUGGGAGUGUGGAUGAUGGAUUUCCAAAUGUCACUUUUUAUUUUGAAAAUUCAGUUUUCUUGAAGGUUUAUCCACAAGAGUAUCUAUUCCCCUUUGAAGGUUUGUGGUGUAUUGGAUGGCAGAACAGCGGGAUGCAAUCAAGGGAUAGAAGAAACAUGACUCUUUUAGGAGAUUUAGUACUUUCAAAUAAGCUAGUUUUGUAUGAUCUUGAACAUCAAGCCAUUGGAUGGACCGAGUACAAUUGCUCUUCAACCAUCAAGGUGCAGGACGAACAGACUGGAACACUGCAUUUAAUAGGUUCCCACUCCAUUUACUCCGCUUGCAGUUUAAAUGCUCAGUGGUGUAUAAUCUUAUUGUUGCUCAGUACGCUGCUGCACACUUUAGUUUACUGAAACGCGAGAACCAGCAGAAAAUAGCAAUGGUCAUAACACAGAUAAAGAAAAUCAGAUAUUAAAAUGAAAAUUCACUAAAUUUGAUGGUGGAUUAUAUAUAUUUUUUUACCUGACAUUCACUUUGGGUCAAUAUUUCUUCCCACAGUGAAUUUUGGAAACCUAUAGGAGCCUACAGCAGGUUUGAUUGUACAUAGACUUUAAUUGAUUACAUGGCUUAGUUUUCUAGCAAGUGCUAUAAAAACAGUGUAUUUAAUGGGAAUUUUUUGUGACAUGUAUAGUGCAUAAGUGCACAGGAGUUCUCUGGCAGAACCAUAUGCCCAUUGGUCUUCUGUCCUCUUUAGCCUACACAGUAGCCUGAAUCUUAGAACUUUAUGAUGCUUCUUCUGUUUAACAUGCGACUUUGAGAACAUUUAGAUCUUGGUAACAUGACUGGCACAAGGAAGCAUAUACGAAGCUUUCAUAAGAAAUACAUACAACUGUGCUGACAUUCAUCUAAAAGUCUUGGCGAAGAAAGUUGGAAAGUGCCCCCACCAUUCCCUGCCUCCUUUUUAUCUUUAACUUGUAAUUAUGUGUUGUACAUUUGAGGUGAUACCUUAUGUUGAAAAGUUUCGUUUAUGUAUGAUAAAAAAAAAAGAUUGGGCCUCUUCACUUGUGGAAAUUUGAG